rnacentral:rRNA from 1 species
CCUACGGGAGACAGCAGUGAGGAAUAUUGGUCAAUGGCCGGAAGGCUGAACCAGCCAAGCCGCGUGAAGGACGAAGGUGCCAAGCAUUGUAAACUUCUUUUGUCAAGGGACAAAAUCAGGCUCGAGAGCCUGACCGAGGGUACUUGAAGAAAAAGCAUCGGCUAACUCCGUGCCAGCAGCCGCGGUAAUACGGAGGAUGCGAGCGUUAUCCGGAUUGAUUGGGUUUAAAGGGUGCGUAGGCGGACUGUUAAGUCAGCGGUAAAAGCCCGGGGCUCAACCCCGGCGAGCCGUUGAAAAUGGCUGUCUUGAGAUGUCGAGAGGUAUGCGGAAUGCGCAGUGUAGCGGUGAAAUGCUUAGAUAUUGCGCAGAACUCCGAUUGCGAAGGCAGCAUACCGGCGGCGAUCUGACGCUGAGGCACGAAAGCGUGGGUAUCGAACAGGAUUAGAUACCCCAGUAGUC